CUCCAUCCAGGGAUUCUAAGGGAAGAGUGGAAACGCCCGGUGAUUCUCUUCCCAUUCUCUCGUUUUUCAAGCAUGACUAGGCAGAAGGGCCACUGGAGAUGCACAAAGAGAAAGCUGCAGAGACAGAUACGGCGGUGAGACAGAGAACGCCCACUGAUACCAGGGUCCGAGGCAGCUGUCCAGCAUUGGCCGUGCCCUCCUCCGCCCUCCUCCACCCAGCUUGUGCUGAUGCCCUCAGGCUCCCCUCAGAAGGCCCUUCAGUCGUACAACACUGAAGCGGACACCCCAUGACCUGACCUUCCACCUGCGGAGUCUCACCAUCUCAGGCACCAAGAAGUCGUGCUGUCCCUGCCCGGGGCUCCAGGUGGGUGCUCUCAUCCAUGCCUGGGCAGUGGAGGGCAGCAGUCAAGCCCUGGGGGCCCUUAGAAAUGGUGCAAAGGCUGGUGGACACUCUGAAGAGUCCUGUGAUCAGAAUAAGGUUCUACAGCGUCCCUGGUCCCAUGACCAACUAGAGGCUUGAACUGGGCAGUGCCACACACAGCAGCAGGAACCAAAGAACACGAGCAAGCCAGGACCAGACCGUACACCCAUGUCAGUGUAAGGGGCAGCCUCCUGGGGUUAAACUCACCAUGGGAGAAGGAAAGAGGAGGGAGUGGCGAUAUGAACUAAGUUCACACUCUGAGCUGACAUACUUCAAUACAAAAGUGACUACAACUUAUAAAGUAAGCUUUCUUUCACCAGCAGAAAUGGGCUGUCUGGGUGGCUCAGAGGAAUGCGAUGCUCCGGAAGGCGGCC